GUUUGAUCAUGGCUCAGAACGAACGUUGGCGGCGUGGAUUAGGCAUGCAAGUCGAACGUGAAAGUCCCCUUCGGGGGAUGAGUAAAGUGGCGAACGGGUGAGUAACGCGUGGGAAACGUGCCUUAGAGCGUGGAAUAACACUCCUAACGGGGUGCUAAUACCGCACGAAAUCCUCGGACGGCAUCAUCUGAGGAUCAAAGAUGGGGACCGCAAGGCCUGUCACUCUGGGAUCGCCCCGCGUCCGAUUAGCUAGUUGGUGGGGUGAUGGCCCACCAAGGCGACGAUCGGUAGCUGGUCUGAGAAGAUGGUCAGCCACACUGGGACUGAGAUACGGCCCAGACUCCUACGGGAGGCAGCAGUCGAGAGGCUUCGGCAAUGGGGGAAACCCUGACCGAGCGACGCCGCGUGAGCGAUGAAGCCCUUCGGGGUGUAAAGCUCUUUUGUUGGGGAAGAAAUGCGGGUGGCCUAAUACGUCAUGCGUUUGACGGUACCCGACGAAUAAGCUCCGGCUAACUCCGUGCCAGCAGCCGCGGUAAUACGGGGGGAGCAAACGUUGUUCGGAAUCACUGGGCGUAAAGGGCGCGUAGGCGGCCCUGUCAGUGGUGUGUGAAAUCCGAUGGCUCAACCAUCGAACUGCGCUCCAUACUGCAGGGCUUGAGGACAGCAGAGGAAAGUGGAAUUCCCGGUGUAGCGGUGAAAUGCGUAGAUAUCGGGAGGAACACCGUUGGCGAAGGCGACUUUCUGGGCUGUUUCUGACGCUGAGGCGCGAAAGCCGGGGGAGCAAACAGGAUUAGAUACCCUGGUAGUCCCGGCCGUAAACGGUGGGCACUAGGUGUUGGAGGCAUCGACCCCUCCAGUGCCGCAGCUAACGCAUUAAGUG
rnacentral:rRNA from 1 species